GACGAACGCUGGCGGCGUGCUUAACACAUGCGAGUCGAACGGAAAGGCCCCUUUGGGGGUACUCGAGUGGCGAACGGGUGAGUAACACGUGAGUAACCUGCCCUUGACUUCGGGAUAACUUCAGGAAACUGGGGCUAAUACCGGAUAGGAAUCCUUGCUGCAUGGUGGGGGUUGGAAAGCUUCGGCGGUUUUGGGUGGACUCGCGGCUUAUCAGCUUGUUGGUGGGGUAGUGGCUUACCAAGGCUUUGACGGGUAGCCGGCCUGAGAGGGCGACCGGCCACAUUGGGACUGAGAUACGGCCCAGACUCCUACGGGAGGCAGCAGUGGGGAAUAUUGCACAAUGGGCGGAAGCCUGAUGCAGCAACGCCGCGUGCGGGAUGACGGCCUUCGGGUUGUAAACCGCUUUCAGCAGGGGCGAAGCUUGUGGUGACGGUACCUGCAGAAGAAGCACCGGCUAACUACGUG
rnacentral:rRNA from 1 species